ACAACUCAGAGGCAGCGUACCCACCUCGAAAAUUAACAGAUAAUGUCAGCACUGAUUAGCUUUAGCUUAACGACAAAUUUUAAUGAUCACGUGCUGCACGUGCUGUAGGCCCGUAUGCUACAUCUCGAAAGGAAUGGCACCACGAGGCGGUGUAGACGUCCUGGCACUUUCAUCCCCCACGUGGCAACUUCGCAUCGGGCCUCCACCAAUUCUCUCUCCAACC
rnacentral:lncRNA from 1 species